UUAAAUUGAAGAGUUUGAUCAUGGCUCAGAUUGAACGCUGGCGGCAGGCCUAACACAUGCAAGUCGAACGGUAACAGGAARCAGCUUGCUGYUUYGCUGACGAGUGGCGG
rnacentral:rRNA from 1 species